rnacentral:rRNA from 1 species
CAUGCCUACGGGACGCAGCAGUGGGGAAUAUUGCGCAAUGGGCGAAACCCUGACGCAGCGACGCCGCGUGAGGGAUGAAGGUCUUCGGAUCGUAAACCUCUGUCAGCAGGGAAGAACGGUCACUGUGCUAAUCAGCAGUGAAUUGACGGUACCUGCACAGGAAGCACCGGCUAACUCCGUGCCAGCAGCCUCGGUAAUACGGAGGGGGCGAGCGUUAAUCGGAGUUACUGGGCGUAAAGCGCUUGUAGGCGGUAUGU